rnacentral:rRNA from 1 species
AACGAACGCUGGCGGCAGGCCUAACACAUGCAAGUCGAGCGCGUAGCAAUACGAGCGGCAGACGGGUGAGUAACGCGUGGGAAUCUACCGUACCCUACGGAAUAGCUCUGGGAAACUGGAGGUAAUACCGUAUACGCCCUAACGGGGAAAGAUUUAUCGGGGUAUGAUGAGCCCGCGUUGGAUUAGCUAGUUGGUGGGGUAAAGGCCUACCAAGGCGACGAUCCAUAGCUGGUCUGAGAGGAUGAUCAGCCACAUUGGGACUGAGACACGGCCCAAACUCCUACGGGAGGCAGCAGUGGGGAAUAUUGGACAAUGGGCGCAAGCCUGAUCCAGCCAUGCCGCGUGAGUGAUGAAGGUCUUAGGAUUGUAAAGCUCUUUCACCGAUGAAGAUAAUGACGGUAGUCGGAGAAGAAGCCCCGGCUAACUUCGUGCCAGCAGCCGCAGUAA